AAGAAAAAGGGGCAUCGAUUCCACAUCUUAAUAGACACAGCAGGAAGGUUUGAGAAGAAAUAUAGGCUAGGAGAUGUGGUGGCCAUCUUAAGACACUACAGUCUACCACCAUGUUGGGAACUGAUUGGAAGAGGACAAUGAAAAGUGAAGAAGGAAGAGCAAAAGUAAUUUAAGCAAAAACAAUCUUAAAUUGCUUUUUAGGAUUACAUACAAUCUCAAAUCUCUGUCUUAAGUAAAUUUAUUAAAUAUUUUUUAAAAAGAAAUGACCACCAGAGUCCAUUUGAAAAGUAAGCUUAC
rnacentral:lncRNA from 1 species